CUACCAGACUCCUACGGGAGGCAGCAGUGGGGAAUAUUGCACAAUGGGGGAAACCCUGAUGCAGCGACGCCGCGUGAGUGAAGAAGUGUUUCGGUAUGUAAAGCUCUAUCAGCAGGAACGAGACAAGACGGUACCUGACUAAGAAGCCCCGGCUAACUACGUGCCAGCAGCCGCGGUAAUACGUAGGGGGCAAGCGUUAUCCGGAAUCACUGGGUGUAAAGGGAGCGUAGACGGCUGUGCAAGCCUGAAGUGAAAGGCGGGGGCCCAACCCCUGGACUGCUUUGGGAACUGUACGGCUGGAGUGCAGGAGAGGUAAGUGGAAUUCCUAGUGUAGCGGUGAAAUGCGUAGAUAUUAGGAGGAACACCAGUGGCGAAGGCGGCCUGCUGGACUGCAACUGACGUUGAGGCUCGAAGGCGUGGGGAGCAAACAGGAUUAGAUACCCUUGUA
rnacentral:rRNA from 1 species